rnacentral:rRNA from 1 species
UACAGAGGGUGCGAGCGUUAUUCGGAAUUACUGGGCGUAAAGCGCGCGUAGGCGGCUUUUCAAGUCGAUUGUGAAAUCCCCGGGCUUAACCUGGGAACUGCAGUCGAGACUGUCUAGCUAGAGUAUGGGAGAGGGAAGUGGAAUUUCAGGUGUAGCGGUGAAAUGCGUAGAUAUCUGAAGGAACAUCAGUGGCGAAAGCGACUUCCUGGACCAAUACUGACGCUCAUGUGCGAAAGCGUGGGGAGCAAACAGG